GCCCGCUCAGAAACUCACAGGAAUUGACGGGGCCCGCACAAGCGGAGGAGCAUGUGGUUUAAUUCGAUGAUACGCGAGGAACCUUACCUGGGCUCGAACGUAAGAUGACUGUAGGUGAAAGCUUACAUCUCUUCGGAGCAUUUUACGAGGUGCUGCAUGGUUGUCGUCAGCUCGUGCCGUGAGGUGUCGGGUUAAGUCCCAUAACGAGCGCAACCCCUACCUUUAGUUGCCAUCAGGUUAAGCUGGGGACUCUAAAGGAACUGCCUACGCAAGUAGUGAGGAAGGCGGGGAUGACGUCAAAUCAGCACGGCCCUUACGUCCAGGGCUACACACGUGCUACAAUGGCCGAUACAGAGGGCAGCUACCUGGUGACAGGAUGCAAAUCUCCAAAGUCGGUCUCAGUUCGGAUCGGAGUCUGCAACCCGACUCCGUGAAGUUGGAUUCGCUAGUAAUCGCGCAUCAGCCAUGGCGCGGUGAAUACGUUCCCGGGCCUU
rnacentral:rRNA from 1 species